ensembl:lncRNA
GUGGAGGGUCCUGAAGGUCUUGCAACAUUUGCGAACCACCAAGACACAGGCCAAGCUCUUAGCAGGGUUCAGACCUGAGUCAGGUGGGGGAGAGCACAGCUGAAGGCCCAGGGCGGGUUCAGCCCCUCAGCCUUGAACCUGACCCUGCCUCCAGGCCCCUCCGGGCUUGCACGAUGCUUAGGGUCAGGGAGCGGCCAAGAGAAGUGCUUUGCCAUGACCAUCUCACUGUCACGCCCUUGCCCUCCUCAUUUCAUUCCAGAUCCAGUUUCCAGCCCUCCGUCUUGCUUCUCACUCACCCACCUCUGUGACGGCAGAUUGGACUCUCAGGUCGCCCUGCCCUCUAAAACCAAUAACGCCAGCCCUCUUAACCCGGGCUCGCACCAGGUGCUGCGUGGACACUACCUCGUCGGAUCUCCCAGCAGCGCACGGACCUGAUGGGGAACCUGGUUCGUUUGCACGCUGGGGCACGGGGCUCAGCGCAGAGCCAUGCCUGCAGUGGGAUGCUGGGGGUCACGCCCUCAGCCAGCCACCCUGUCCCUGCCUCCGCCACUUGGCCACCAGCCCCGGGUCUGUGUUAGUAGCACUGCUCCUGUGGCUCCUGUGGCCCCCAGGUCCCAGAAACAAGUUCCCUGGGCUUGUGAGCCGAGGGAUCUGCACUGAGGCCAGCACAGUCUGUGAACCUCUUCCCUUGGGACACUAUGUGGGGCCAUGAUGUGACCUACUAAGGUGGGGGCCCCCGUCUCUGCAGGGUCCUCCCCAGAAAGCCUUUAGUCCUUGACGUCCAUCCCUGCGGGGGCUCAGCUUUGCUCUUUGCUGUAUCUUUACAUCUCAGGCUAGAAACAGCCCCUCAUCUGUUCACUGAUGAACACAGCCGCCCUCACUGCCACCUCGCAGCCACUACCCACGGCCACCUUGUGGCCCAGACUCUGCUCUCCCUCUUCUUGUCAUGCUGCCCACUGACCUCAGGUCCCCAGCAGCCAGCCCCCAGCAGUCGGAGAGUCAAGGCUGGCUGGCUCUCAGUGCCCCCACGUCGUGAGGGGCAGUGGAGGGCAUUUGUUCUCACCACUGGUGGGAGACGCUGCACUUUGCUCAAAGGGCAACCAGUCCGAGAGCAACGUGUCACCUGAGUGGGAGACCCUGGGAGGACAGCCUAGCGGGGUUUGGGAUGCGCCGUCUGCUGGUACUAAUUACAGCCUUCACCCAGGGCUGGCGGGGAGGGUGCCCAGGGAACAAUAAGCAUCUUCUCAGCCGGGAGGGGAGAUCUGAGGGGGUGGGUUGAGGGGGAGGCGGAGGGAGGAGAAAUGAGGACAAAUCUUUGGGAAGCUUUGCUAGAAAGAGGCCAUGGGUGUGUGGCCUGAGGCAAAGCUCACAGCUCCCCGCCCCCUCCAACAACCUUGACCUUGCCUGGUACCUUGGUUCCAAAACCCCCAGCCACUCCGUGGCACAGUUCGAGGCCCCAGCCCAAGCCUCUGCCUGGGGACCUGGGACCUGGGGGUGUGAGCAGCUCCUCAGGGGAUCUGAUGCUUUUCCAGGGCUGGUAUAGGCAGUGAUGCAGGGGCGCAGUGACCCACUGGCUCCUCGUCCCCACUCUGGCUGGGCUCUGCUUCAGGCUCCUGCACGGGAGGGAGCAGAAGUCUCCUUCCUGGGGACCUGGGGUGGCACCUCCUGGGGAGGGAGGCUGUGAGCCCAGUGUGAGGGGGGCGCUGACUGGGCAGCAGGUGUGGUGGCAUUUCGGAGCCCCAGGUGCUGGGCCUGAGUUCUGGGAAUGUCAGAAGGAUGAAAGUGCCCCCUCUCCCCCACUUCCUGACCCUCGGAAGCUCUUGCCGACACCUCCCUCUCCAUCCCUCUGGGGCUUGGCUGGCUCUCACCUGCAGGUUGUGGCUUCUCUGAGAGUCUUGUGACCCCUCAGUGUGGGUUAGACCCCUCCCCUCUGCAUCUCUCAGCAGUGCCUUGUCACCCAGCUGGGAACCAAGCUCCGAAAGCUGGGGGCGUCUCCAUACAUGCCCCUAGGCUCUAGCCAGUCCACAGCGCUUGUCAGUGUUAUGUUCAUGCUUGAAGGAUUGACCGAUUCCCACCCUGAGGAGCUCCUGAGGUCCCCGAGGGGUGGGGGAGAUAACCAGCUAGCAUUUAUUAAGACUUGAUAGGAAGGAGUUCCCGUUGUGGCUCAUUGGGUUACCAACCUGACUGGCAUCCAUGAAGAUGCCGGUUCGACCCCUGGCCUCGCUCAGUGGGUUAAGGAUCCAGGGUUGUCCUGACCUGUGGUGUAGGUUGCAGACGCAGCUCUGAUCCCAUGUUGCUGUGGCUGUGGUGUAGGCCCAGCAGCUGUGGCUCCAAUUCAACCCCUAGCCUAGAAACUUCCAUAUGCCAAAGGUUCAGCCUUAAAAAUAAAAAUAAAUAAAUAAAUAAAAGACUGGAUGGAGGGAAUUCUCUGAUGACCCCAUGGUUAAGGAUCCCGCAUUGUCACUGCUAUGGGCUGGGUCUCUGCUCUAGCUCAGGUUCAGUCCUUGGCCUGGGAACUUCCACAUGCCGUCAGCGUGGCCAGCGGAAAAAAAGGGGCAGCGGGGAGGGGAGGACUUGAUGUACCAGAUACUGCACUAAAUGCCCUACGUGGGGUAUCUCAUUGAAUCAGUAAUCCUCUGAGCAGGUCAUAUUGCGGUUCCCAUUUUAUAGAUGCUGAAGUGGAGGCCCAGAGCAGUCUCAUACCCGUCCAGGGUCCCACGCCUUGCAGACCAUGGAGCCGAGGGUAUGAAGGGGACGUGUAGGAGAGAGGCCGCCGCCCGUGUCCCAGGUCCUCUUUGGCCCUCUCCGCAUCUUCCAGUCCUCAAACAGCCCACAGCAGUAGUUUUGCUGCCUGGAACCUAAGAAUUGAGAGACAUCCAGUGACUUAUUCAAGGGCACCGCUGGGAAGCAGUCACUCGGAA